CCUCCCCGGCGCCGUCUUCUGCGUCGUCGUGUUCUACUGUUGCUUAUGUUGUAAACGAGCAGAGAACGAGCGCACGCUACCGCCCCCGCGUUGACCCGUCGCCGAGCCCGGCCUCGCGGCUUGCUUCCUCACGGGCCACAACCCACAGCUGGCCCAGCUCCCUUGCCGCGGCCUGCCUGGCGUCCUCCUCUCUAGUCGGGCCUUGGCCCAGGGUGAGCAACCCCCAUCCUCUCCAGUGCACGAUCGGGCUAGUCAGUUUCGGCCCAGUGUUGUUUUUUUUCUCUGUCUGUGAUUUUUGCCUAUUAAUGCUGAGAAAAUAGAUUUGCAGAAAAACCCUUGAACUUCAUGCAUAUAAUAACUUCACAACCGUGCAUCGGAUUAAAAUAAUCUAAAUAUGUAAAAUGCUCAGAAAUUUGUGUAGUUUAAUAAUAUGCUGCUUGCAUCCAUGUUUAAUAUGUUUAAAGUGUUGUUUUUUUAAUUUGCUUAAAUGCCAUGUUAAAAUGAUUUAUUUCAUAACUAAUUAACCGUAACUCGGAAUUUAAUAAACUUUAUAUGUAAAUGGUGUAGAAAAAUGCAUAGAUUAACAUGGUGCACUUCAUUUUGCUGUUUAACAACAUUAAAAUUGUGUUUAUGGCAGAACAGUACCAAUUCCAAAAUAUGAACAUGAGGAUUUUCCGGAAUUGUCGUUUGUUAUUUCCGGCCUCAUUUAAACUUGCCUAGAUAGGUUGUUUAAUUAUGCUUCACCCCUUGCCAUGUUUAAUAACAUUUAAUAUUGUUGGGCACAUAAACGAGAGAGAACUAAAUAAUUAAAUGUGGUGUUUCGUCAAUAUGCAACUCGUUGCAUAUUGAGCUCCACUUAAUUUGUAGUAUUGUUUGUUGCAUUUUGCCAUGCCAUGCCUCUUUAAACCGAACAUGCAUCAUGUUUGUUUUUGCAUCAUGCCAUGUGUAUGUGUUGGUUGUUUACUAUGUUGUUUGUUUCUUUCCGGUUUGCUUCUCUCGUUAGCUUCGGUUUCGUUCCGGAGUUGUGAGGAUUCGUUCGACUUCGUCCGUUUGUCUUCUUCUUGGACUCGUUCUUCUUCCUAGCGGGAUCUCAGGCAAGAUGACCAUACCCUCGAAAUCACUUCUAUCUUUGCUUGCUAGUUGUUUCGCUAUAUUGCUAUGUCGCGCUACCUACCACUUGCUUAUCAAGCCUCCCAAAUUGCCAUGAACCUCUAACCUUUGUCACCCUUCCUAGCAAACUGUUGUUUGGCUAUGUUUCCGCUUUUGCUCAGCCCCUCUUAUAGCGUUGCUAGUUGCAGGUGAAGAUGAAGAUUGCUCCAUGUUGGAUUAUGUUUAUGUUGGGAUAUCACAAUAUCUCUUAUAUAAUUAAUGCAUCUAUAUACUUGGUAAAGGGUGGAAGGCUCGGCCUUAUGCCUGGUGUUUUGUUCCCCUCUUGCCGCCCUAGUUUCCGUCAUACCGGUGUUAUGUUCCUUGAUUUUGCGUUCCUUACGCGGUUGGGUGAUUUAUGGGACCCCCUUGAUAGUUCGCUUUGAAUAAAACUCCUCCAGCAAGGCCCAACCUUGGUUUUACCAUUUGCUACCACCUAUCCCCUUUUCCCUUGGGUUCUGCAGACUCAAGGGUCAUCUUUAUUUUAGACCCCCCCGGGCCAGUGCUCCUUCGAGUGUUGGUCCGAACCGAGUAGCCUGCGGGGCCACCUCGGGGAAACUCGAGGUCUGGUUUUACUCGUAGCUUGACUUAUCCGGUGUGCCCUGAGAACGAGAUAUGUGCAGCUCCUAUUGGGAUUUGUCGGCACAUUCGGGUGGCUUUUCUGGUCUUGUUUUACCAUUGUCGAAAUGUCUUGUAAACCGGAAUUCCGAGACAGAUCGUGUCUUUCCGGGAGAAGAUUUAUCCUUCGUUGACCGUGAGAGCUUAUAAUGGGCUAAGUUGGGACACCCUUGCAGGGUAUAAACUUUCGAGAGCCGUGCCCGCGGUUAUGUGGCAGAUGGGAAUUUGUUAAUAUCCGGUUGUAGAGAACUUGACACUUGACCCUAAUUAAAAAGCAUCAACCGCGUGUGUAGCCGUGAUGGUCUCUUUCCGCGGAGUCCGGGAGGUGAACACGGUUUCUGGGUUAUGUUUGACGUAAGUAGGAGUUCAGGACCACUUCUUGAUCAUUGCUACUUCACGACCGUUCCGUUGCUUCUCUUCUCGCUCUCAUUUGCGUAUGUUAGCCACCUUACAUGCUAGUGCUUGCUGUAGCUUCAUCACCUUACCUUUUCCUACCCAUAAGCUUAAAUAGUCUUGAUCUCGCGGGUGUGAGAUUGCUGAGUCCUCGUGACUCACAGAUACUUCCAAAACAGUUGCAGGUGCCGAUGAUACCAGUGCAGGCGAUGCUACCGAACUCAAGAGGGAGUUCGACGAGGACCUUGGUCGUUACUAUGUUUCUUUUCCUGUUGAUCAGUAGUGGAGCCCAGUUGGGACGAUCGGGGAUCUAGCAUUUGGGGUUGUCUUCUUUGUAUUCGGUUUUGACCGUAAUCGGUCUAUGUGUGUAUCUUGAAUGAUGUAUGAUUUUAUUUAUGUAUUGUGUGAAGUGGCGAUUGUAAGCCAACUCUUUAUCCCAUUCUUGUUCAUUACAUGGGAUUGUGUGAAGAUGACCCUUCUUGCGACAAA
rnacentral:lncRNA from 1 species